AGGUUGUGGUGUUCUUAUUCCCAGCCUUCGUUCCUGGAGUCCCUUUGACCGGAGGCCUGGAGGCCACAUUAUUCUGCUCUACGGUACCAGAAAGAACCAUGAACCGAAGGAUGUUGCCUCCUUUGGGAGAUUCUUUGUGCUUGAAUCGGCUGUGGAACCCAAAUCUCCUUAUUCUCUCCUAGAGGGCAAAGGGAACGAUAUCGAUAAGCUAAUAGAGUGAGGACACGGUCGACCUUUGCGGGUCAUCUAGUCUAACCCUCUGCCCUAGCAGACCCUACACCAUUUUUGACAGAUGGCAGCCCAGUCUCUACAAAGUCACAGAGGUGGGGAAAAAAAACACCCCCGGAGCAGCUAGCCGAGGCAGAUCCCUUCCCCUCAAGAGCCUGAUCUGCUUCUGAACCCACCCAUCCUUCCUCCCUGGCUGAGCCCAAGUAAGAGAAACAAGGUUUGCUGGAGGCUGAGCUGGCAUUUUUGUCCACCCUGCGAGCCUUUCCCAAGGACCCGAGAUAGGCGGACGUAACCUUUUGAUGGUGUUAGAAAGAGAUAUAUCCUCGCUCGCAGGAGGUGACUGUCCCAACAAGUAAAGCUUCCUUUUGUCACCAUCCUCACAAUCCUCCUACCCUGAGGGAAAUGGUAGCCCUUCCUCCUCCCCUCCUCCCCCAGUGCCACGUGAGGCAGAAGCCUUAAUCACCGACCUAUUUAAAAUAUGAGCAGCUUGCCUUGCAAGGCUGACUGCCGUAUACCGAAUGGGAGGAUUCAGAUGAGAAAAUGAAAGAUCUCUUCUGGGUUUUAUUUGGAACAAGGCGGUUCAACUGCAUUUUACUUGCUGCACCCCCUCGAUUCAAUGCACGGCUUAGAAAUAGGAAAUAUAAAUCAAUGGAUGGAAUUUUGCAGAUGGCCUUCUCCACUCUAGCCAGGCAGCCAUCAUGGCCGUAAUGAAGGAAGCAGAAAUGGGUGGUUUUUAAAAAAGGAACGCGGGAUCAUUUUAACAGGCAGCCCCAAACAGAAAGCCUGGAUGAGGGGAAGUCAGCAGGUGUUUUAACCAAGGGGCCUUUUCUCAGUGCUGAGUUUAAAAACCUCUCCAUCUCUUUAAGAGGUGGGGUCAAAUUACACACUCACUCACUCACACACACACACCUGGAAAAUUGCUCUGCGGCUUUUACUGUGCCUGCUCUGACUCACUGUGGAUUGUGCUCUUCUGAUAAGGUAUAUACUAUACAGCAUAUGGACAAAUCAGCUGGUGGAUUGUUUUUUUUUCCCCCGCCUUUGUGACUCUCCCUGUCUGUCACCAGAAAAACCUCUGUCAAUCACAGGGCUGCAGCACACAGGAGGGGGGUGUCUCAUUGGGGUCACGGGAGGCUGUCUGUCCCAUUGAGGCUGCCCCCCUCUUUUCCUAUUCUGUCAUCAUAGGUU